AGAAGUAGAGAAAGAAAGAGGAAAGAAGGACGAUUAGUUUUAUUGGCCGAUUCGUGUAGUUAUUAUUUUUUUCGUUUGAUUAUUACUAAGGGAUUGUAGAGAAGAAAACGGAAAGAAAGGAGGCACUGAAGGGAGGAUUCUCAUUAUUUGUAUCAUUUUUUCUUUUCUUUUACAAUUCAACAACAAUAAAAAAAAAUACAAAAAAA
rnacentral:ribozyme from 13 species